rnacentral:rRNA from 1 species
CCUGGCUCAGAUUGAACGCUGGCGGCAGGCCUAACACAUGCAAGUCGAGCGGCAGCGGGAGGAAGCUUGCUUCCUCGCCGGCGAGCGGCGGACGGGUGAGUAAUGUCUGGGGAUCUGCCCGAUGGAGGGGGAUAACCACUGGAAACGGUGGCUAAUACCGCAUAACGUCGCAAGACCAAAGUGGGGGACCUUCGGGCCUCACACCAUCGGAUGAACCCAGAUGGGAUUAGCUAGUAGGUGGGGUAAUGGCUCACCUAGGCGACGAUCCCUAGCUGGUCUGAGAGGAUGACCAGCCACACUGGAACUGAGACACGGUCCAGACUCCUACGGGAGGCAGCAGUGGGGAAUAUUGCACAAUGGGCGCAAGCCUGAUGCAGCCAUGCCGCGUGUGUGAAGAAGGCCUUCGGGUUGUAAAGCACUUUCAGCGAGGAGGAAGGUGGUGAGCUUAAUACGUUCAUCAAUUGACGUUACUCGCAGAAGAAGCACCGGCUAACUCCGUGCCAGCAGCCGCGGUAAUACGGAGGGUGCAAGCGUUAAUCGGAAUUACUGGGCGUAAAGCGCACGCAGGCGGUUUGUUAAGUCAGAUGUGAAAUCCCCGAGCUUAACUUGGGAACUGCAUUUGAAACUGGCAAGCUAGAGUCUCGUAGAGGGGGGUAGAAUUCCAGGUGUAGCGGUGAAAUGCGUAGAGAUCUGGAGGAAUACCGGUGGCGAAGGCGGCCCCCUGGACGAAGACUGACGCUCAGGUGCGAAAGCGUGGGGAGCAAACAGGAUUAGAUACCCUGGUAGUCCACGCCGUAAACGAUGUCGAUUUGGAGGUUGUGCCCUUGAGGCGUGGCUUCCGGAGCUAACGCGUUAAAUCGACCGCCUGGGGAGUACGGCCGCAAGGUUAAAACUCAAAUGAAUUGACGGGGGCCCGCACAAGCGGUGGAGCAUGUGGUUUAAUUCGAUGCAACGCGAAGAACCUUACCUACUCUUGACAUCCAGAGAACUUUCCAGAGAUGGAUUGGUGCCUUCGGGAACUCUGAGACAGGUGCUGCAUGGCUGUCGUCAGCUCGUGUUGUGAAAUGUUGGGUUAAGUCCCGCAACGAGCGCAACCCUUAUCCUUUGUUGCCAGCGGUUAGGCCGGGAACUCAAAGGAGACUGCCAGUGAUAAACUGGAGGAAGGUGGGGAUGACGUCAAGUCAUCAUGGCCCUUACGAGUAGGGCUACACACGUGCUACAAUGGCGUAUACAAAGAGAAGCGAACCUGCGAAGGCAAGCGGACCUCAUAAAGUACGUCGUAGUCCGGAUUGGAGUCUGCAACUCGACUCCAUGAAGUCGGAAUCGCUAGUAAUCGUAGAUCAGAAUGCUACGGUGAAUACGUUCCCGGGCCUUGUACACACCGCCCGUCACACCAUGGGAGUGGGUUGCAAAAGAAGUAGGUAGCUUAACCUUCGGGAGGGCGCUUACCACUUUGUGAUUCAUGACUGGGGUGAAGUCGU